rnacentral:tRNA from 1 species
AAACAGAAAGCAAAUCUUGCAUUUAGUUUCGACCUAAAAGUUUGGUGAUAACACCUCUGUUUG